rnacentral:rRNA from 1 species
UGGGGAAUAUUGCACAAUGGGCGCAAGCCUGAUGCAGCAACGCCGCGUGAACGAAGAAGGUCUUCGGAUUGUAAAGUUCUGUCCUUAGGGAAGAAGAAAGUGACGGUACCUAAGGAGGAAGCCCCGGCUAACUACGUGCCAGCAGCCGCGGUAAUACGUAGGGGGCAAGCGGUUAUCCGGAAUGAUUGGGCGUAAAGAGUACGUAGGUGGUUUCGUAAGCGCAGGGUGAAAGGCAGUGGCUUAACCAUUGUAAGCCUUGCGAACUGCGAGACUUGAGUGCAGGAGAGGAAAGCGGAAUUCCUAGUGUAGCGGUGAAAUGCUUAGAUAUUAGGAGGAACACCAGUGGCGAAGGCGGCUUUCUGGACUGUAACUGACACUGAGGUACGAAAGCGUGGGGAGCAAACAGGAUUAGAUACC